UACAGAGGGUGCGAGCGUUGUUCGGAAUUACUGGGCGUAAAGGGCGCGUAGGCGGCCUGCUAAGUCAGACGUGAAAUCCCUCGGCUUAACCGGGGAACUGCGUCUGAUACUGGAUGGCUUGAGUUUGGGAGAGGGAUGCGGAAUUCCAGGUGUAGCGGUGAAAUGCGUAGAUAUCUGGAGGAACACCGGUGGCGAAGGCGGCAUCCUGGACCAACACUGACGCUGAGUGAGCGAAAGCCAGGGGAGCAAACGGGG
rnacentral:rRNA from 1 species